rnacentral:lncRNA from 1 species
CUCACGCCGCGGUUCUACACCACGGACUUCGACGAGAUGGAGCAGCUCUUCAACGCCGAGAUUAACAAGCAGCUCAACCAGGACGAGUUCGACGCGCUGCUGCAGGAGUUCAAGACGGACUACAACCAGACCCACUUCAUCCGCAACCCCGAGUUCAAGGAGGCCGCUGACAAGAUGCAGGGCCCGCUCCGCCAGAUCUUCGUCGAGUUCCUCGAGCGCUCCUGCACCGCCGAGUUCUCCGGGUUCCUCCUCUACAAGGAGCUCGGUCGCAGGCUCAAGGUUCGUGUACCUCUUCUUCUUCUCUGCUUUUUUGCAUGUAGGCAUUUCGUCGAGCAGCUGGUGGGUAUGCGCUGAUGCCGCGUUUCCUUUUCAGAAAACUAACCCCGUGGUGGCUGAGAUCUUCUCGCUCAUGUCCAGGGACGAGGCCCGGCACGCUGGGUAUGUACUUGCGAUCUUAUUCCCAUCAAUACAAUACAAUACAAUUUGAUAGGGCGUAACCAGAAGCCAAAUUUCAAAUGCACUGACUAUGACCAGAAAUGCCUUCUUCUCUCAUGUAAAAAGUUUAAGCUAUUAACUACUGUAAAAUUUCAAAUGCACUAUGACUCAGUUCCGCAAGAAUUAAAUUAUUAACUACUGUAGUUUAGCUCUCGACAUGAUUCGUGUUAUUCAUACAAAUAACAUGAUUCGUGCUGUGUAGGUUCUUGAACAAGGGGCUAUCCGACUUCAACCUGGCUCUGGACCUCGGGUUCUUGACCAAGGCUAGGAAGUACACCUUCUUCAAGCCAAAGUUCAUCUUCUACGCCACGUACCUGUCCGAGAAGAUCGGCUACUGGAGGUACAUCACCAUCUUCAGGCAC